AACGAACGCUGGCGGCAUGCCUAACACAUGCAAGUCGAACGAGACCUUCGGGUCUAGUGGCGCACGGGUGCGUAACGCGUGGGAACCUGCCCUUAGGUUCGGAAUAACUCCCCGAAAGGGGUGCUAAUACCGGAUAAUGUCUUCGGACCAAAGAUUUAUCGCCUUUGGAUGGGCCCGCGUUGGAUUAGCUAGUUGGUAGGGUAAAAGCCUACCAAGGCGACGAUCCAUAGCUGGUCUGAGAGGAGGAUCAGCCACACUGGGACUGAGACACGGCCCAGACUCCUACGGGAGGCAGCAGUGGGGAAUAUUGGACGAGGGGCGAAAGCCUGAUCCAGCAAUGCCGCGUGAGUGAUGAAGGCCUUAGGGUUGUAAAGCUCUUUUACCCGAGAUGAUAAUGACAGUACCGGGAGAAUAAGCGCCGGCUAACUCCGUG
rnacentral:rRNA from 1 species